ACCUCCGUGGAGGAAAAAGUUCAGUUGGGCACGGGCUGCAUCGGUGAUGAGGAGCCUGCGGAGGCCAUCUCGGCCCGUCAUCGAUUCGGCGCGACGUCUUGGGGCGCGAGAACCUGCUCCACUUCGUCACCCGCCUCUGCGGCGCUGUGGCAGUCAAGAUGCUCAGGGCGGCGGCACCCAUCUUUCCUUGCCGAGUCGGCUUGCGGCGCCAAGGAGGACUUGGCAGGGGAGCGGACAAAAACCUCUGCUGGCAGGGGGAGCCGCUGACAAAACCCACAAGAUGAUCUAGGAUGACGUAGGAUGAACCAAUGUCACAAUUUCUGUAAUAAUACAGGUUCAACCUUGACGAAGAUUGUGUGUGUUAUAAGAGACGACAUGGCUGGUUUGCAAGCACGGCCACUUGCCAGGAAUUAUGAAGUUCAUAAUUACAAAAGCUGGUGCAGUGGUUCCCUGAUGGUGUCAUAUUUUCUUUAGAAAAACCAAAGACGGCUGACCUGCAAGGUAUCUCAUGUUUACUUGAUCUGUGCGUUCCACCUUUUGGUACACCUUAUUUUUGUAUCUGUCGUAUAUCCCUUCGUAAUAUUGGUGGCAUAUGUUUGGAGCUGAAUAUGAUGUAUAUAUCCUUUUAGCAUGCCUGGUACAUCAGUAGCUUUAUUCUGAAUUAUGUUACUGAUAAUAUGCAUUGUCCUUUGGCUGUUCUGAAUGUGUACCAGGGGUAUUUGGUUUCUUUAGAAAAAAAUGUUCAAAGCUAGGGUAUAUUUUCUUAAUAUGGUCCAUACAAUUAAGCACACAAUACAAUUACAGAAAUGAUCGUGCAUUUCCAGUGCUCCGACGAGAACUCUGUUAAAACCUGGUGCUUCUCCAUUGUGUGGUUCUGAAACAGAUGCCUCUCCAAGAAAGAAUUAACCGAUGAUAUGAGAGCUACCUCCGUCUCAAGCUCAGGCCAUGUCACUUAUCCAUUUUGUGCUUCAGAAGCAACUAGCCUUCUUAAGAAAUAAGCAAGUGAGAAUGUCGGAACAUGAUCUGUCGUAAGCUCAGA